AACAGAAAGACCUGUAAAAAAUAUUUCUCCCAAUUUUGAAGAAAUCUUGUGGCCUUCAGUUGCUUUUUGUUUUAAUCCAGUUUAUAUGCCUAAUCCUUAAAGGCAAAUAAAGUGUUCAGGAGGCUUUCCAUCAAAGGAAUGUGCUAUGACUUUCCUUUUGCAAAAUAAAGCUGGUUCAGUGCUCUCUGAUUUGGAGACACAUUUGUUCCCUGAAUACAUUCUUCCAGAGACUGAACUGUGUUCCAUCAACAUGUCCAUUGCUUCUACUGUUUCAACUCACCCAGGACAAGGAAAUCACCUCAAAAUACUGCUGGAAGGUGCUUUAAGAAGUUAUACUCCCAUGUUUUCUUUCAAGAUGAAAUGAUGAAAGGCUCCCUGUUGUGCGGGAUUUGGACAUUUCACACUUGGAACAUAAAUUAGGCUGAUUAUCCAUACAGCAUUAUUGUCACAUUUGUGGGUUUUGGUGCCAGGAAGCAAUAAGCUGUGAACUGUCAUAUUCUCAGUGUCUCAGCCCCUGGGGAUGGGAAGGAAAACACUUUCUUUGUAUGUCCUUCUUCAAUUUCUUAUCUAGAUCAUUUUGGCUCAUAGACCUAUACCAGAGAUGGAUUCCCCUCUCCUCUCUCCAAACAUACAAACAGCCAUCACUCUGAAGCUUUGGAGGCAUUCAGCUCAUGCUUCUAAAAAUUAACUUCCAUUCCUCUAUUCCCACACUCACAGGUUUCAAGCAAAAGGCAAAACAUGGAGAUGCUGUAAGCGCCUUCUCUUGGCACUAUCUGCUGGGGAACACAGUGCAGAAAAUCUUUUGAAAUAGAUGGCUUCUCACACAAAUUACACUCUGCUAAGAGACUUCAAGGGAUUCUGGUUCCUGGUUGAUUCUUACCCAGGCAGAAAGUCUUGAGUGUCUUGGAUUGCCUCUCUUAGCUUGCCUUUUCUCAGUCAAGGGGUAGACAAAGUCAUUGCUGUCGGGAUGCUGGUGUCCCAGGGGCAGACUGCUCUGCCAUAAAGACACAUUCAGCCCUUAGCUGAUGAUCCAGUUAUGCAAGUGCAUUGCUUCAUAUGUUUUCUGUAGAAUAGUGAAGUCCCUUCUCCAUUAGGACGUGGCCUUACGAAAACCCAGCACUGCACUAAAUACUGGAUCAGGACUUAACAGUCACCUCUUUAGCCUGUACUCUUAUAGAAAUGCCUGAUAUAUUUGUAUGUGAAAGUGUAUACAAACAGGCUGAAGAUACACAAUACAUAUACACAACUACAUCUUACUGGUAACAUAGGCGAGUUUCUAAGCUACACUUAAUUCUGGAGUGUCAAGAGAAAGAAAAAGAAAUCUGUGGAUGUCAUAAAAGUUGAGACAUUUGUCUGAAAUAUUUCUAUUUUGAAGAAAAAUUUGAGAAAUUUCAGAUUAAAUGUUGUUUUGUCAAAAAUCUCCCAAUUAUAGCAAAAGGGAAACUAAUGAGGAAAGCAAGUCUGGCACAGAACUGAACAAACUGGAGGCAUCUCAUACAUAAACUUGGAAUCAGAUCUUACUCAUGUCCCAUGGAUGUGUGAAAUAAAUUGGCAGUCUGCUUAGUCAAAUGUCUUGUCUGGCUGAUGGCUGCAGCACCAGCACAUGAAAGAAACUAUGUAAAACAGGGGACUAAAAUUAUUCUUCAGCUAUACUCCAAUAACAAUAUUGAAAGCAACAACAUCUGUGUUAUGUGGCAGAGGCAGUAUAAAAAAUGACUGUUAACCUCAUACUGCAAAACUAGGGAGGUGUUAAACAAUUGCAUUCCCAUUUUGGGAAAAUAUGACUAUGACUGUAUCCUUGACAGAAAUAAGCUAUAAUUCCAGAAAUAAGAAGCAGAAGAAAAAUCCUUUGGCCUUUCAGAACUUCAUAACCAUUGACAGUAUUAAACAAGUCACAGACUUCAGGGUAAUUGCUCCUGGAAAACUUUGGAAUCUCCUAAGCAAAACAUAAAUACAAAAUAUUUUUAAAAUAGUGGCUUUAAUCCCAGAGUUGAAGGAGCUCACUUGAGAAUUUACCCUUUGACACAUUAGGACUGAAUCUUAGGGAUAGUUCUAAUGCUAUUUUGUGCAAUUGGCAGAAUUGC